UGAGAAAUGGCUACCACAUCCAAGGAUGGCAGCAGGCGCGCAAAUUACCCACUCCCAGCUUGGGGAGGUAGUGACGAAAAAUAACAAUGCGGGACUCUAAGAGGCCCCGUAAUUGGAAUGAGUACACCUUAAAUCGUUUAACGAGUAUCAAUUGGAGGGCAAGUCUGGUGCCAGCAGCCGCGGUAAUUCCAGCUCCAAUAGCGUAUAUUAAAGUUGCUGCAGCUAAAAAGCUCGUAGUUGGAUCUGGGGCUUGAGGUCGCUGUCUAUCGUUUCGGCGAUGACGGUGAUGCUCAGCUCUGCUUGCCGGUGACUGUUGCGGUGUUCUUCACUGAGCGCUGUAGCAGCACGGCACGUUUACUUUGAAAAAAUUAGAGUGCUCAAAGCGUGCUUGUCGCUUGAAUAAUGUUGCAUGGAAUAAUGGAAUAGGACCUCGGUUCUAUUUUGUUGGUUUUCGGAGCUUGAGGUAAUGAUUAAGAGGGACGAACGGGGGCAUUCGUAUUGCGGUGUUAGAGGUGAAAUUCUUGGAUCGCCGCAAGACGGACUACUGCGAAAGCAUUUGCCAAGAACGCUUUCAUUAAUUAAGAACGAAAGUCAGAGGUUCGAAGACGAUCAGACACCGUCCUAGUUCUGACCAUAAACGAUGCCGACCAGCGAUCCGUAGUGGUUGCUUUAUGGACCCUACGGGCAGCCUCCGGGAAACCAAAGUAUUUGGGUUCCGGGGGAAGUAUGGUUGCAAAGCUGAAACUUAAAGGAAUUGACGGAAGGGCACACCAGGAGUGGAGCCUGCGGCUUAAUUUGACCCAACACGGGAAAACUCACCCGGUCCGGACACCGUAAGGAUUGACAGACUGAUAGCUCUUUCUUGAUUCGGUGGAUGGUGGUGCAUGGCCGUUCUUAGUUGGUGGAGUGAUUUGUCUGGUUAAUUCCGAUAACGAACGAGACUCUAGCCUGCUAAGUAGUGUUGCUAUUGUUAUAUGGUUGACACUUCUUAGAGGGACAAGUGGCAUUUAGCCACGCGAAAUUGAGCAAUAACAGGUCUGUGAUGCCCUUAGAUGUCCGGGGCCGCACGCGCGCUACACUGGAGAAGUCAGCGUGUGUUAUCCAAGUCCGAAAGGACUGGGUAAUCCGUUGAACCUUCUUCGUGCUUGGGACUGUGGCUUGGAACUAUUCCACAUGAACGAGGAAUUCCUAGCAAUUGCAAGUCAUAAGCUUGCGUUGAUUACGUCCCUGCCCUUUGUACACACCGCCCGUCGCUACUACCGAUUGAAUGGUUUAGCAAGGUCCUCGGAUCGUGGCCGUAGGGGCACGCAAGUGUUUCUGCGGUUUGCGAGAAGACGACCAAACUUGAUCAUUUAGAGGAAGUAAAAGUCGUAACAAGGUU
rnacentral:rRNA from 1 species